GAUCCCGUGGUCCAACGGCGAAGACGCCUGGGUGACAACCAGGAAAGUGAUGGUUCGAUUCCAUCCGGGAUCA
rnacentral:tRNA from 1 species